ACGGGUGAGUAACACGUGGGAAUCUACCCAUCCCUGCGGAACAACUCCGGGAAACUGGAGCUAAUACCGCAUACGCCCUUAGGGGGAAAGAUUUAUCGGGGAUGGAUGAGCCCGCGUUGGAUUAGCUAGUUGGUGGGGUAAAGGCCUACCAAGGCGACGAUCCAUAGCUGGUCUGAGAGGAUGAUCAGCCACAUUGGGACUGAGACACGGCCCAAACUCCUACGGGAGGCAGCAGUGGGGAAUAUUGGACAAUGGGCGCAAGCCUGAUCCAGCCAUGCCGCGUGAGUGAUGAAGGCCUUAGGGUUGUAAAGCUCUUUCACCGAUGAAGAUAAUGACGGUAGUCGGAGAAGAAGCCCCGGCUAACUUCGUGCCAGCAGCCGCGGUAAUACGAAGGGGGCUAGCGUUGUUCGGAAUUACUGGGCGUAAAGCGCACGUAGGCGGAUAUUUAAGUCAGGGGUGAAAUCCCGCAGCUCAACUGCGGAACUGCCUUUGAUACUGGGUAUCUUGAGUAUGGAAGAGGUUAGUGGAAUUGCGAGUGUAGAGGUGAAAUUCGUAGA
rnacentral:rRNA from 1 species